GACGAACGCUGGCGGCGUGCUUAACACGUGCAAGUCGAGCGAUGAAGUUCCUUCGGGAAUGGAUUAGCGGCGGACGGGUGAGUAACACGUGGGUAACCUGCCUCAUAGAGGGGAAUAGCCUUUCGAAAGGAAGAUUAAUACCGCAUAAGAUUGUAGCUUCGCAUGAAGUAGCAAUUAAAGGAGUAAUCCGCUAUGAGAUGGACCCGCGUCGCAUUAGCUAGUUGGUGAGGUAACGGCUCACCAAGGCGACGAUGCGUAGCCGACCUGAGAGGGUGAUCGGCCACAUUGGGACUGAGACACGGCCCAGACUCCUACGGGAGGCAGCAGUGGGGAAUAUUGCACAAUGGGGGAAACCCUGAUGCAGCAACGCCGCGUGAGUGAUGACGGUCUUCGGAUUGUAAAGCUCUGUCUUCAGGGACGAUAAUGACGGUACCUGAGGAGGAAGCCACGGCUAACUACGUGCCAGCAGCCGCAGUAAAAC
rnacentral:rRNA from 1 species